UAUGGAGAGUUUGAUCCUGGCUCAGGAUGAACGCUGGCGGCGUGCCUAAUACAUGCAAGUCGAGCGAACGGACGAGAAGCUUGCUUCUCUGAUGUUAGCGGCGGACGGGUGAGUAACACGUGGAUAACCUACCUAUAAGACUGGGAUAACUUCGGGAAACCGGAGCUAAUACCGGAUGAUAUUUUGAACCGCAUGGUUCAAAAGUGAAAGACGGUCUUGCUGUCACUUAUAGAUGGAUCCGCGCUGCAUUAGCUAGUUGGUAAGGUAACGGCUUACCAAGGCAACGAUGCAUAGCCGACCUGAGAGGGUGAUCGGCCACACUGGAACUGAGACACGGUCCAGACUCCUACGGGAGGCAGCAGUAGGGAAUCUUCCGCAAUGGGCGAAAGCCUGACGGAGCAACGCCGCGUGAGUGAUGAAGGUCUUCGGAUCGUAAAACUCUGUUAUUAGGGAAGAACAUAUGUGUAAGUAACUGUGCACAUCUUGACGGUACCUAAUCAGAAAGCCACGGCUAACUACGUGCCAGCAGCCGCGGUAAUACGUAGGUGGCAAGCGUUAUCCGGAAUUAUUGGGCGUAAAGCGCGCGUAGGCGGUUUUUUAAGUCUGAUGUGAAAGCCCACGGCUCAACCGUGGAGGGUCAUUGGAAACUGGAAAACUUGAGUGCAGAAGAGGAAAGUGGAAUUCCAUGUGUAGCGGUGAAAUGCGCAGAGAUAUGGAGGAACACCAGUGGCGAAGGCGACUUUCUGGUCUGUAACUGACGCUGAUGUGCGAAAGCGUGGGGAUCAAACAGGAUUAGAUACCCUGGUAGUCCACGCCGUAAACGAUGAGUGCUAAGUGUUAGGGGGUUUCCGCCCCUUAGUGCUGCAGCUAACGCAUUAAGCACUCCGCCUGGGGAGUACGACCGCAAGGUUGAAACUCAAAGGAAUUGACGGGGACCCGCACAAGCGGUGGAGCAUGUGGUUUAAUUCGAAGCAACGCGAAGAACCUUACCAAAUCUUGACAUCCUUUGACAACUCUAGAGAUAGAGCCUUCCCCUUCGGGGGACAAAGUGACAGGUGGUGCAUGGUUGUCGUCAGCUCGUGUCGUGAGAUGUUGGGUUAAGUCCCGCAACGAGCGCAACCCUUAAGCUUAGUUGCCAUCAUUAAGUUGGGCACUCUAAGUUGACUGCCGGUGACAAACCGGAGGAAGGUGGGGAUGACGUCAAAUCAUCAUGCCCCUUAUGAUUUGGGCUACACACGUGCUACAAUGGACAAUACAAAGGGCAGCGAAACCGCGAGGUCAAGCAAAUCCCAUAAAGUUGUUCUCAGUUCGGAUUGUAGUCUGCAACUCGACUACAUGAAGCUGGAAUCGCUAGUAAUCGUAGAUCAGCAUGCUACGGUGAAUACGUUCCCGGGUCUUGUACACACCGCCCGUCACACCACGAGAGUUUGUAACACCCGAAGCCGGUGGAGUAACCUUUUAGGAGCUAGCCGUCGAAGGUGGGACAAAUGAUUGGGGUGAAGUCGUAACAAGGUAGCCGUAUCGGAAGGUGCGGCUGGAUCACCUCCUU
rnacentral:rRNA from 1 species